rnacentral:rRNA from 1 species
CUCAGUUCGGAUUGAAGGCUGAAAUUCGCCUUCAUGAAGUCGGAAUUGCUAGUAAUGGCAGGUCAGCAUACUGCCGUGAAUACGUUCCCGGGCCUUGUACACACCGCCCGUCACACCAUGAGAGUUGGAGAUACCCGAAGCCUAUGAGCUAACUUUUAGAGGCAGUAGUCGGAGGUAGAAUCAAUGAUUGGGGUGAAGUCGUAACAAGGUAUC